CUGUGGGAAGGUGCUAGGCUGACGACUUCCACUCCAGCCCAUCUUCUCGUCUACUUAAGGCCAAGAGAAGAACCCCAGUUAGUGAGGUCCCUGACGGCACACAGACCCGAGGUUCACAUUGGAAAUCCAGUGUCAUCUUGACUCCUGUGUUCCAAAAUUUCUCUUCCCUGAGGAGGAGAUCAAAUGUAAAGAUUUGCUACUCGGAAUGGAUGGGUUGCCCAGAAACCCUGUUAGAGUUCUGAUUCUAGGACCCCACCUCAGGCUUCAGAAGGAGCCUCUGUGGAUGGGACCUCAGAACUUCCUGUGUGGACUAACAUUAAUGAUGCCCUGAUUUAAGACCAAAGUUAAGAAGAUUUACAGCGUACAACUGCCCUCUGUCACUGGUGCGGACGAAGAAGCGACGCGGCUCUCCUUGCCCCCAACCCCAUCGCCUGGGACAAAAACUUCAAAGGAACAAUCGAAGUGAACCCCAAUAGACAAGAUGUCCUCACAGUUUCCUCUUCAUUACAUAUGGAGUUUCUCCUCCACAGCCCUACUAUUUAAGGAUCCCUGUUGGCUUCUGAGAUUCCCUGACUCAAGGCAUCCCAGGGAGAGUCUGUUGUUGGUCACAUUAAGGAAUGCUAAACUACUGUAACAAAUCACCCAGAAACUCAGAGGUCCCAUACAGUGUUUAUUUCUUGCUUGGGCAAACAUUAUGCUCUUUAGCUCUUAAGGGGGGCUGUCUGCAAGCUAUCUUGGGAGUCUGGGGUGCUGCCAUUUGCCACUAGCCUGAAGUGUGACCCUGGACAAAGAGCUUCCUUUUAUGGACUCACAUUCUUCAGUUACAAGAUGGAGCUGAUGUCCCUGCCCAUGUAGCUUAUAGCACUAUGCAAUACUCUUGGCCCGGAUGUGAAGACGGCUCGUUCCCCACCUCCACUCCGGCAUCCAGCUCCAUGUCAUCUUAGAGAGGGUGCUCAGGGCUCUCUCAGCACACAAGCUAUAGCAAACCACGGGGGCACUGGAUCCAGAAUGUUGACACCCUCACAGCCUAGAACGGAGAAAUCCACCAGCUGCAGCCUGUCAGCUCUCCUGUUGAAAAGACUCGGAGCGGGAGGGGAUACGCUCCCUCUCCGCCAGUUCCCAGGCAUCUGGGUCCCCUGCUCAAGCCAUAAUCAAGUCAUCAUAUCUAGCCAGUGUCUCCUGGAUCCUGUCACUUCUGAAUGAGGAAAAAAUUUGCUGACAAAUUUCUAUCAGCAGGACGUUGGUGUUCUCCUGCGAGGCUGGAUGAAAAGCACCUGUGACGUCAGCAGCCUCCCGACUUCCGGCUCCUGCCGGGAACUUUGAGGUUGCAGGGUUCUCUGUUUAGCCCCUCGCAGCCCACCUGCCCCUCUGAGUCCGGUUCAGGCCCGGCAACUGUUUGGACUGCAUGGAAUGAGCCCAAGGCUUCCUAAUUGUGGGUCUUGCUGACUUGUGCUGGUCGAAGAAGGCGACUCUGCCCCAGAUCAGGAAGCCGACGGGCACCAGCCAACCCUGGCCUCGACAUUGUCCCCACAGUUAGGAGCAUUUAUUUGACUGAGUGCCAGGACAGUUCAUUAUAACUUAUAAAAGCUCUGGUUUGAAGGAAGGGCUGCUUUGGCCUCUCUAUAUGCCUGAUGGACUUCACUCUGAGGCAAAAAACUGUGAGAAUAACAAACCAAAAACACUUCUCACCCUUCAUCAGAAAG